UUAAAUCUUAACAUCAUAUAAAACAGAGGUGAGAACUCAGAAGAGAAAUACAGCUGGCUAUCUACUACCAGAAGGGCUUCAAAGAUAUAGGGUGUGGCUCCUACCAGCAAACAGCUGAAAGAGGAGGACCCCUGCCUUCCUCUGAGGACAGGCUCUAGAGAGAGGGAGAAACAAGUGGACCUCGUCCCAUCUUCACUCUUCACUUGAGUUGGCUGUGUUCGGGGGAGCAGAGAGAGCCAGACAGCCCCAAGCUUCUGAGUCUAGAUACAGAAGCCCAUGUCUUCUGCUGUUCUUCACUUCUGGGAAAUUGAAGUGUCUUCUGUUCCCAAGGAAGCUCCUUCCUGUUUGUUUUGUUUUCUAAGAUGUUCAUUUUUAAAGCCUGGCUUCUUAUCCUUAAUAUUAUUUUAAUUUUUUCUCUUUGUUUCUGUUUCUUGCUCUCUCUCCCUGCCUUUAAAUGAAACAAGUCUAGUCUUCUGGUUUUCUAGCCCCUCUGGAUUCCCUUUUGACUCUUCCGUGCAUCCCAGAUAAUGGAGAAUGUAUCAGCCAGCCUUCCCCACCAAGUCUAAAAAGACCUGGCCUUUCACUUUUAGUUGGCAUUUGUUAUCCUCUUGUAUACUUGUAUUCCCUUAACUCUAACCCUGUGGAAGCAUGGCUGUCUGCACAGAGGGUCCCAUUGUGCAGAAAAGCUCAGAGUAGGUGGGUAGGAGCCCUUCUCUUUGACUUAGGUUUUUAGGAGUCUGAGCAUCCAUCAAUACCUGUACUAUGAUGGGCUUCUGUUCUCUGCUGAGGGCCAAUACCCUACUGUGGGGAGAGAUGGCACACCAGAUGCUUUUGUGAGAAAGGGAUGGUGGAGUGAGAGCCUUUGCCUUUAGGGGUGUGUAUUCACAUAGUCCUCAGGGCUCAGUCUUUUGAGGUAAGUGGAAUUAGAGGGCCUUGCUUCUCUUCUUUCCAUUCUUCUUGCUACACCCCUUUUCCAGUUGCUGUGGACCAAUGCAUCUCUUUAAAGGCAAAUAUUAUCCAGCAAGCAGUCUACCCUGUCCUUUGCAAUUGCUCUUCUCCACGUCUUUCCUGCUACAAGUGUUUUAGAUGUUACUACCUUAUUUUCCCCGAAUUCUAUUUUUGUCCUUGCAGACAGAAUAUAAAAACUCCUGGGCUUAAGGCCUAAGGAAGCCAGUCACCUUCUGGGCAAGGGCUCCUAUCUUUCCUCCCUAUCCAUGGCACUAAACCACUUCUCUGCUGCCUCUGUGGAAGAGAUUCCUAUUACUGCAGUACAUACGUCUGCCAGGGGUAACCUGGCCACUGUCCCUGUCCUUCUACAGAACCUGAGGGCAAAGAUGGUGGCUGUGUCUCUCCCCGGUAAUGUCACUGUUUUUAUUCCUUCCAUCUAGCAGCUGGCCUAAUCACUCUGAGUCACAGGUGUGGGAUGGAGAGUGGGGAGAGGCACUUAAUCUGUAACCCCCAAGGAGGAAAUAACUAAGAGAUUCUUCUAGGGGUAGCUGGUGGUUGUGCCUUUUGUAGGCUGUUCCCUUUGCCUUAAACCUGAAGAUGUCUCCUCAAGCCUGUGGGCAGCAUGCCCAGAUUCCCAGACCUUAAGACACUGUGAGAGUUGUCUCUGUUGGUCCACUGUGUUUAGUUGCAAGGAUUUUUCCAUGUGUGGUGGUGUUUUUUGUUACUGUUUUAAAGGGUGCCCAUUUGUGAUCAGCAUUGUGACUUGGAGAUAAUAAAAUUUAGACU
rnacentral:lncRNA from 1 species